rnacentral:lncRNA from 1 species
CGCCCCUCGCUCUGUUUUCCACCAGCUGCCUGUCCAGCGGGCCUGCCGCCUCCACCGCCCAGUCCUUGCUCAGGUGUCACUGUUGCUGGCAGGCCAGGAUUAGGAAAGGAGAAUGGGCAGGGGGUGGUGGCUGGGAGGAGAUGGGCUCUACCAUGCCACCCCCACCCUCACUUGGCUUCCUACCCUGGAAUCCGCAUACACCCCCGCGCCUCCUUGGCACCCGCGCCUUGGAGACUGGGUUAAGCUGCAGU